GUAGACUCCGACGUGGAGGGGCUAGCUGGUGAGAAAGGGGAAAAGGUAUGUCUGGAGAAUCUGGCACUAAAGGACAGCACAGAGUGAGGAGACCUUGGACAUAAUGGUCCAACAUGGAGACUCUGGGAAGCCAGGUGAUGUAGGACCCCCUGGACUGCCUGGUCCUCGGGGGUUGAACGGCAUGAGCGGUGUGCAUGGCAGGCCGGGUAUUGAGGGUCCACCGGGACAAGAUAUAUCUGACCAGCAUAUUAUUGAUGUGGUAUAAAGAAUGUUGCAAGAGAGGCUGGCAGCAGUAGCAGUGAGCACUAAAAGGGCUGUGCCGUUGAACAACCGGCUAUUCUGGUCCUCCGUGAUUAAUGGUUCCACAAGGACCACAUGAUUUGCCUGGUUCCCGAAGAAUUCCUGGAACGAUGGGAGCUGACAGACGGAUUGGAAACACAUGUCUUAAAGCAGGAUGUGCUCCAUUCGACUGCCGGAGAGUACUGAGCCGUUUCGAACAGGAGGAGAAUAUAUAGGAGGUCUGCAGUGGGCGGGGCUCACGCUCAACACUGCAGUGUCGAUAUUUUUGACUCUCAAAACUAAUCCUACAUUUGUGAUGUGUCUACUCGACAUGGUGUGUGCAUCACAAUGUGGACAAACACACAGGUAAGUAUCAUGGUGUUUAUUUAAAGCAUUAAAAUGUUUGCUUUGAUCUUUCUCCCAUUCCUGUUUAGUGAUGUGUCUGAAACAAGUUUCGGUGAUCAACUUGUGGGCCCCAAACAACACACACACCACAACAAAGUCCCCAGAAGGCCCACGAAUGAUGGGACGCCACCCAGACGGACUGGAGGC